GACGAACGCUGGCGCCGUGCUUAACACAUGCAAGUCGAACGAUGAAGCCCAGCUUGCUGGGUGGAUUAGUGGCGAACGGGUGAGUAACACGUGGGCAACCUGCCCCAAACUCUGGGAUAACUCCUCGAAAGAGGUGCUAAUACCGGAUACGAACUAGACAGACAUCUGUACUAGUUGGAAAGUAUUUCGGUUUGGGAUGGGCCCGCGUCCUAUCGGCUUGUUGGUGAGGUAACGGUUCACCAAGGCUACGACGGGUAACCGGCCUGAGAGGGCGACCGGUCACACUGGGACUGAGACAUGGCCCAGACUCCUACGGGAGGCAGCAGUGGGGAAUAUUGCGCAAUGGGCGAAAGCCUGACGCAGCGACGCCGCGUGAGGGAUGAAGGUCUUCGGGUCGUAAACCUCUUUCAGUAGGGACGAAGCGAAAGUGACGGUACCUAAAGAAGAAGCACCGGCUAACUACGUGCCAGCCGCCGCCGUAA
rnacentral:rRNA from 1 species